UUUAGGCAGGGAAAGGAAAUGCACUGUUCUAGGGGUAUUGGAGAAUGGGUUCACUGUGGUUGUGAAACGGGUGACGUUACAGAAGAUGGAUCUUAUGCCGUGGUUGUGAAAUGUCACCAUUUUGAUCCAGGUUAACAAAGUAGGAUAGGCAAAUGCAGAUGUCAGAGUUAGACAGAAAAAAGAGGCGCAUGGAAUGAACACAAUUUUGUUGGGCGAUUCUCAUGAUGAUUUGCUUCUCCACAGUCUAUGUUUCUAACAGGCUAAUUCCCAAAUCCACCAUCUUGCAUAUGCAAUGUAUUGCACCCAAUGGGUGUGAAACGCUUCUUAUGCAUGUCUUUUCCAAGAAUUGUAAAACGAGGAAAGACAUACCAACUACCGAGGGUGACGGAAGUGAGGACUGAGGAGAUUAGGAAGAAUGGUAUCUUCACCAUGCUAGAACAGAAUCCACACAUUUGGCCAAAGCAAGGAACCUAACUGUGGAGGAGUUUGUUCACAUGGAGACCACAACUCUGAUGCAACAAGUGAACAAGACCUUGCUCAUUGCUGUGAACUAGACCUAUGAUCAUGUGAAUGGGGAUACUCUAUAUUAUCUUCUAGAUCAUAUGGGUUUUGGGGAGAGAUGGAAGAGGUGGAUUAAGGCUUGUAUUUCUACUAUUCGCUUCUCCGUGUUGGUAAAUGGUUCCCUGCAGAUUUCUUUGGCAGCUCUGAGGGUUUGAGACAGGGCGACUAAUUGUCACCUCUCUUAUGUCUUCUGGUUAUGGAGGUAAUAAGUCGGAUUAUGAAGAGGGGUUUGCCUUUAGCGAAUUGGUAUUGCAUGUGUCAAAGAAAUGGGGAAACAAUGGAACAUCUUUUAUUUCAUUGUGAAGUUGUUUAUGCUUUGUGGGGGGAGGUGCCCAUUUAUUUGGUAUUCACUUAGUCAUGCCAGGAUCUAUUGGGAGCUUAUUGUUUAGUUGGAGGAAUUGGUUGGGGAAGCAUGGCUUGGUUGUGUGGAACUUGGUGCCAAGUUGUUUAAUGUAGGUAGUUUGGAAGGAAAGGAAUUGCUAUUCGAUUGAGGAUAUUGAAUGCUCUUUGGAUCAAUUAAAUUAGUUAUUUGUUCGAACUCUUUUUGAUUGGUCUAGGGCUUGGGGUUAUUAACAUUGUUCUGAUACUUUUGAGUUUCUAAAUUCACUUAGCCAUAGCAUUUGAUUUAUUUGUAUUUUUAUGAUCCUUUGUGUUCAUCAUCAUGAGCACAAGGUUUUCUUUCUUUAUCAAU